rnacentral:tRNA from 1 species
GAUCUUAUCAUUGUGGCAGGACGACCAUCAAUGGGAAAAACAGCUUUAUGUUUAAAUAUCGCAUUAA